UACAGAGGUCUCAAGCGUUGUUCGGAUUCAUUGGGCGUAAAGGGUGCGUAGGCGGCGCGGUAAGUCGGGUGUGAAAUCUCGGAGCUUAACUCCGAAACUGCAUUCGAUACUGCCGUGCUUGAGGACUGGAGAGGAGACUGGAAUUUACGGUGUAGCGGUGAAAUGCGUAGAUAUCUGGAGGAACACCGGUGGCGAAGGCGGCAUCCUGGACCAAUUCUGACACUGAGGAGCGAAAGCCAGGGGAGCAAACGGG
rnacentral:rRNA from 1 species